UCCCGACCCAGAGCUUGCUAUAUAGCAGGGGACAUGCAAAUAGGGCCCUCCCUCUGCUGAUGAAAACCAGCCCAGCCUCACCCUGCAGCUCUGGGAGAGGAGCCCCAGCAAUCCCAGGUGUCCCCAUUCUGUAAUCAGGACUGAACACACAGACUCACCAUGGAGUCUGGGCUGAGCUGGGUUUUCCUUGUUGCUCUGUUACAAGGUGUCCAGUGUGAGGUGCAGCUGGUGGAGUCUGGAGGAGGCUUGGUCCCACCUGGGGGGUCCCUGAGACUCUCCUGUGCAGCCUCUGGAUUCACCUUCAGUGACUACUGGAUGAGCUGGAUCCGGCAGGCUCCAGGGAAGGGGCUGGAGUGGGUCGGAGAAAUUAAUGGUGAUGGUGGUAACACAAACUACGCAGACGCCAUGAAGGGCCGGUUCACCAUCUCCAGAGACAACAGCAAGAACACGCUGUAUCUGCAAAUGAACAGUCUGAGAGCCAAGGACACGGCUGUGUACUACUGUGGGAGAGACACAGUGAAGGGACAUCAGUGUGAUCCCAAACACAAACCUCCUGUGUGGAUGCACAGUGCCACCAGGGGGGAGUGUGGGACCCUGGAAGCCUAA